rnacentral:rRNA from 1 species
AUUGAACGCUGGCGGCAGGCUUGACACAUGCAAGUCGAGCGGAGAUGAGGUGCUUGCACCUUAUCUUAGCGGCGGACGGGUGAGUAAUGCUUAGGAAUCUGCCUAUUAGUGGGGGACAACAUUCCGAAAGGAAUGCUAAUACCGCAUACGUCCUACGGGAGAAAGCAGGGGAUCUUCGGACCUUGCGCUAAUAGAUGAGCCUAAGUCGGAUUAGCUAGUUGGUGGGGUAAAGGCCUACCAAGGCGACGAUCUGUAGCGGGUCUGAGAGGAUGAUCCGCCACACUGGGACUGAGACACGGCCCAGACUCCUACGGGAGGCAGCAGUGGGGAAUAUUGGACAAUGGGGGGAACCCUGAUCCAGCCAUGCCGCGUGUGUGAAGAAGGCCUUAUGGUUGUAAAGCACUUUAAGCGAGGAGGAGGCUACUGAGACUAAUACUCUUGGAUAGUGGGCGUUACUCGCAGAAUAAGCACCGGCUAACUCUGUGCCAGCCGCCGCGGUAAGAC